rnacentral:rRNA from 1 species
GAGGAAUAUUGGUCAAUGGACGGAAGUCUGAACCAGCCAAGUAGCGUGCAGGAUGACGGCCCUAUGGGUUGUAAACUGCUUUUGUAUGGGGAUAAAGUUAGGGACGUGUCCCUAUUUGCGGGUACCAUACGAAUAAGGACCGGCUAAUUCCGUGCCAGCAGCCGCGGUAAUACGGAAGGUCCAGGCGUUAUCCGGAUUUAUUGGGUUUAAAGGGAGCGUAGGCUGGAGAUUAAGUGUGUUGUGAAAUGUAGACGCUCAACGUCUGAAUUGCAGCGCAUACUGGUUUCCUUGAGUACGCACAACGUUGGCGGAAUUCGUCGUGUAGCGGUGAAAUGCUUAGAUAUGACGAAGAACUCCGAUUGCGAAGGCAGCUGACGGGAGCGCAACUGACGCUUAAGCUCGAAGGUGCGGGUAUCAAACAGGAUUAGAUACCCUGGUAGUCCGCACAGUAAACGAUGGAUGCCCGCUGUUGGUACCUGGUAUCAGCGGCUAAGCGAAAGCAUUAAGCAUCCCACCUGGGGAGUACGCCGGCAACGGUG